GGGGUUGUGGCUCAGUGGUAGAGCACUUGCCUUGCAUGUAUGACGCACUGGGUUCAAUUCUCAACACCA
rnacentral:tRNA from 1 species